AACGAACGCUGGCGGCGUGCCUAACACAUGCAAGUCGUACGAGAAAGCCCGGGCAACUGGGUGAGUAAAGUGGCGCACGGGUGAGUAACGCGUGGGUAACCUACCCUCGAGCCGGGGAUAACUCCGCGAAAGCGGGGCUAAUACCGGAUAAUAUUUCGAUGUCCUCGGACGUUGAAAUCAAAGGUGGCCUCUGCAUGCAAGCUACCACUUGAGGAUGGGCCCGCGUACCAUUAGCUAGUUGGUAGGGUAACGGCCUACCAAGGCAACGAUGGUUAGCUGGUCUGAGAGGAUGGCCAGCCACACUGGAACUGAGACACGGUCCAGACUCCUACGGGAGGCAGCAGUGGGGAAUCUUGCGCAAUGGGGGAAACCCUGACGCAGCAACGCCGCGUGGGUGAUGAAGGCUUUCGGGUCGUAAAGCCCUGUCAGGUGGGAAGAAACAUGCUGAUGCCAAUACCAUCAGCACUUGACGGUACCACCGGAGGAAGCACCGGCUAACUCCGUGCCAGCAGCCGCCGUAACAC
rnacentral:rRNA from 1 species